rnacentral:rRNA from 1 species
UGCUCCCGGAUGUUAGCGGCGGACGGGUGAGUAACACGUGGGUAACCUGCCUGUAAGACUGGGAUAACUCCGGGAAACCGGAGCUAAUACCGGAUAGUUCCUUGAACCGCAUGGUUCAAGGAUGAAAGACGGUUUCGGCUGUCACUUACAGAUGGACCCGCGGCGCAUUAGCUAGUUGGUGGGGUAAUGGCUCACCAAGGCGACGAUGCGUAGCCGACCUGAGAGGGUGAUCGGCCACACUGGGACUGAGACACGGCCCAGACUCCUACGGGAGGCAGCAGUAGGGAAUCUUCCGCAAUGGACGAAAGUCUGACGGAGCAACGCCGCGUGAGUGAUGAAGGUUUUCGGAUCGUAAAGCUCUGUUGUUAGGGAAGAACAAGUGCGAGAGUAACUGCUCGCACCUUGACGGUACCUAACCAGAAAGCCACGGCUAACUACGUGCCAGCAGCCGCGGUAAUACGUAGGUGGCAAGCGUUGUCCGGAAUUAUUGGGCGUAAAGGGCUCGCAGGCGGUUUCUUAAGUCUGAUGUGAAAGCCCCCGGCUCAACCGGGGAGGGUCAUUGGAAACUGGGAAACUUGAGUGCAGAAGAGGAGAGUGGAAUUCCACGUGUAGCGGUGAAAUGCGUAGAGAUG